CCAAUCGCUUAAUGCCAAUCGCGUCCGCUUUGUGUGCUGAAAAUAUAACAAUAUAAUAAUUAUCCAAGCCAGAUAAAGUGCCCAGCAGUCCAUUUUUGUGCAUAGUUAUUAAUAUAGAAAAUACCAAAGAAACUAAACCCAGAGCGACAGAGAGAGGUUGGGAGAACAAAAGCCUUAAAACCAGAAGGAAAUCAGCAAAUAGCAGCCUAGCAACUGGUUCCAUCCAAAGGUAAUGUGAAGAUUAAACCAUAAUAAUACCAAAAGCAAAGAAAACCCAAGUGAAAAUACAAAAUAUCCCGUAAAAAUACUACAGAUAUACAUAGUAUAUACCACAGCCAAAAGAUCCGACGAUAGAUGGAAAGAGUGUCGCCGUGCAAGCGCGGAGAGAGCUAAAAGCGAAAAGUCCAACUGAGAAUCAAUAUAGCC